rnacentral:rRNA from 1 species
UACGGAGGUUGCAAGCGUUAUCCGGAUUUAUUGGGUUUAAAGGGUGCGUAGGCGGAAUAAUAAGUCAGUGGUGAAAUCCUGUAGCUUAACUAUAGAAUUGCCAUUGAUACUGUUUUUCUUGAGUGCAGUUGAGGUAGGCGGAAUGUGUAAUGUAGCGGUGAAAUGCUUAGAUAUUACACAGAACACCAAUUGCGUAGGCAGCUUACUAAACUGUAACUGACGCUGAGGCACGAAAGCGUGGGGAG